AGGGGUGACAGCAACAGGGCACGCAGCUGCAGCCCAGCAAGAAGGCACUCAGUGCGUCAGCAACAUGCAGGGCUUCCAGAGGAGCUCCCGGCUGCUGGCUGCACUGCUAAGGGCACAGAGAGUCCCCCGGGCUGGGGUCACCUCCAAACCACCUGAGCACCCCGUUUCUCCUGCUGAACAAGCCAUCGCAAUGACUGUGAUGUUCACAUGCUUGCUGGGACCUGCAGCCUGGGUCCUGGCCCACGUGGAGCACUACAAGAGCAGAGCAGACUGAGAGCAGAACUGAUAGCACAGAUCUUCACCCUCUGAGCACGUUCAUUAAACUCAUGUUGGUGUGAAA